AUUGAACGCUGGCGGCAGGCCUAACACAUGCAAGUCGAACGGUAACAGGAAGAAGCUUGCUUCUUUGCUGACGAGUGGCGGACGGGUGAGUAAUGUCUGGGAAACUGCCUGAUGGAGGGGGAUAACUACUGGAAACGGUAGCUACUACCGCAUAACGUCGCAAGACCAAAGAGGGGGACCUUCGGGCCUCUUGCCAUCGGAUGUGCCCAGAUGGGAUUAGCUAGUAGGUGGGGUAACGGCUCACCUAGGCGACGAUCCCUAGCUGGUCUGAGAGGAUGACCAGCCACACUGGAACUGAGACACGGUCCAGACUCCUACGGGAGGCAGCAGUGGGGAAUAUUGGACAAUGGGCGAAAGCCUGAUGCAGCCAUGCCGCGUGUAUGAAGAAGGCCUUCGGGUUGUAAAGUACUUUCAGCGGGGAGGAAGGGAGUAAAGUUAAUACCUUUGCUCAUUGACGUUACCCGCAGAAGAAGCACCGGCUAACUACGUG
rnacentral:rRNA from 1 species